GAUGAACGCUGGCGGCGUGCCUAAUACAUGCAAGUCGAGCGAACGGACGAGAAGCUUGCUUCUCUGAUGUUAGCGGCGGACGGGUGAGUAACACGUGGAUAACCUACCUAUAAGACUGGGAUAAUUUCGGGAAACCGGAGCUAAUACCAGAUGAUAUUUUGAUCCGCAUGGUUCAAAAGUGAAAGACGGUCUUGCUGUCACUUAUAGAUGGAUCCGCGCUGCAUUAGCUAGUUGGUAAGGUAACGGCUUACCAAGGCAACGAUGCAUAGCCGACCUCAGAGGGUGAUCGGCGACACUGGAAGUGAAACGCGGUCAAGACGACUAAGAGAGGCAGCAGUAGGGAAUCUGCCGCAAUGGGCGAAAGCCUGACGGAGCAACGCCACGUGAGAGAUGAAGAUCUUCGGAUCGUAAAACUCUGUUAUUAGGGAAGAACAUAUGUGUAAUUAACUGUGCACAUCUUGACGGUACCUAAUCAGAAAGCCACGGCUAACUACGUG
rnacentral:rRNA from 1 species